AGGAAACAAUUUGGUUAGGCAACAAAACUACUUGGUUAGGUGUAGGAAAAGAUCGUGGUUUGGGUUCAAAUAACUUCGGAAGUGAUGUAACUUAAUUACGGAAGUUACGUUACUAAUAAAUCAACUUUGACUUCUGGU